rnacentral:rRNA from 1 species
UAGGGAAUAUUGGGCAAUGGAGGCAACUCUGACCCAGCAACACCGCGUGAAUGAUGAAGGUCUUCGGUAUGUAAAGCUCUAUCAGCAGGAAAGAUAAUGACGGUACCUGACUAAGAAGCACCGGCUAAAUACGUGCCAGCAGCCGCGGUAAUACGUAUGGUGCAAGCGUUAUCCGGAUUUACUGGGUGUAAAGGGAGCGCAGACGGCAUGGCAAGCCAGAUGUGAAAGGUGGGGGCUCAACCCCCAAGCUGCAUUUGGAACUGUCAAGCUAGAGUAUCGGAGAGGUAAGUGGAAUUCCUAGUGUAGCGGUGAAAUGCGUAGAUAUUAGGAGGAACACCAGUGGCGAAGGCGGCUUACUGGACGAUAACUGACGUUGAGGCUCGAAAGCGUGGGGAGCAAACAGGAUUAGAUACCCUGGUAGU